UCGGGGGGGGGCUGUGCGAUGUAGCACCGGGGAGCCGGUCGGAGCGGGAUGGCGGAGGCACCGUCCGGCCGCCUCAGCGCCCAGCCAGGGGCCGCGCCUCCCCCUCCCGGCCCGCAGGCGGCGGCUCCAGCCUCCGAGCGGCUCGGGGAGCAGUCUGGGUAAGAUGCCAAAGCUCCAGGGGUUUGAGUUCUGGAGAGAGACAUUGAGAGGUGCUCACUAUGUAGUUGCUCCUAUGGUGGAUCAGAGCGAACUAGCUUGGAGACUAUUGAGCCGUCACCAUGGAGCCCAGUUGUGUUACACACCCAUGCUGCAUGCUCAGGUCUUUGUCAGAGAUGCCAAUUACCGCAAAGAGAAUUUAUACUGUGAUGUGUGCCCUGAGGAUCGGCCACUGAUUGUGCAGUUCUGUGCCAAUGACCCUGAAGUGUUUGUCCAGGCUGCACUGUUGGCUCAGGAUUAUUGUGAUGCCAUAGACCUGAAUUUGGGUUGCCCUCAGAUGAUUGCAAAGAGAGGUCAUUAUGGAGCAUUCUUGCAAGAGGAAUGGGCUCUUCUCCAGAAAAUGAUUUUGCUUGCUCAUGAGAAGCUCUCUGUUCCCAUCACAUGCAAAAUCCGUGUUUUCCGAGAAAUUGACAAGACAGUGAAGUAUGCACAGUUGCUGGAGAAGGCUGGCUGCCAGCUACUGACUGUCCAUGGCCGCACUAAGGAACAGAAGGGACCUCUUGCUGGUGUGGCAUCCUGGGAGCAUAUUAAGGCUGUGAGGAAGGCUGUGAGCAUCCCUGUGUUUGCAAAUGGAAACAUCCAAUACCUCAGUGAUGUGGAAGAGUGUAUGCAGAAGACAGGAGUGCAUGGUGUCAUGAGUGCAGAGGGUAAUCUUCAUAACCCAGCUUUGUUUGAGGGCCGAAACCCUAUGGUAUGGGAGAUGACUGAGGAGUACCUGGAGAUAGUGCACCAAUAUCCUUGCCCACUGUCUUAUGUCAGAGCUCAUCUCUUCAAGCUCUGGCAUCACACGCUGCAGGUUUACCAGCAGCUUCGUGAAGAACUGGCAAAAGCGAAGACACUAGAGGGCAUUGCAGAUGUCAACAGAGACCUGAAGCUACGAUGCCAGGAGGAAAUAGCUAAUCAGAAAGAAGGAGAGAAGCCGAAGGGAGGAUUGCCUUUCUUCCAUUGGAUCUGUCAGCCAUACGUCAGGCCAGGGCCAAAGGAGACGUGCAAGGAAAAUGGAACCAGUGGGAGUGAAGGAGGCGUGCGAGGGAAACGAGCCCUGGAGGAUGAGGAUGAUGGAAACGCUGAUAUUCUCUCAAAGAAUAAACAAAAGAAAAAAUUGAGAAAUCCAAAUAAACGCUUUGAUCCGUCUUUGAAACCUAAAUAUGCAAAAUGUGAUCAUUGUGGAAACCCAAAGGGUAACAAAUGUGUGUUUAAUCUGUGCCGAGGAUGCUGUAAGAAAAGAGCAUUUAAAGAGACUGCAGACUGUCCAGGUCAUGGAUUACUUUUUAAAACCAAAUAUGAAAAGUCCCUUCUGUGGAAAAGUGGCCAACCAGAGAUGCAGAAGAUUGAAAGGACACAGAAAGAGGAUGUGGAGGAAACUGCUGGACUGAAAGAGGGUAUUGACACUGUACUGUGAGCCUUCAGACUAGAUUCUACUGGAUCUGCUUCCCUGUCUCUGUUUCCCUAGGCCAAAGAAUCUGCCAUUCCAGAGCACCAUCAGCAGCCUGGAGUAGUUCCACAGAGAACUUCAACAGUGUGAAUCCAGACACAUUACUCUGUUAUGGUAAAAGGCUAAAGAAAUGGAGACCAAGCUGUCUGCCAUUUUACUGGAUAAAAUCUCAGAUCAGAAAAUUGACUUUAAACCUGAGGCUGCCCACUGACUGCAACACCUGGUAGCCUGAGGCGUAUGUGAAAUCUGCAGCAGUCCAUCUCUCCUUACCCUCAGGUUGCAAUGGAACUUCUGCACUGCUCACUGCCAUCUCCUGCUGUAAUGGGAGAUUGAAACAGCAUGUGCCAUGGACCUCCCCGCAACCUGCACCCAGACUCCAAACACGAAGGCUUCUAAAGCUUUAUCCUGUGGGAAUGUUAACUGUAAACAGGGGCUCCUGAAGGGAAGAAAGAGACAGUGACUUACAGGGACUGACAUACAUUCAAAUGAAAGCUCUAGAUAUUCUGGGUCUGGUAAAACCAGAGCAUUGUGAAUUAGGAGUUUGUACAGGGGCUUUGAGCCUCUACAUAGAAGGAACAUGCUAAAAUUUAGCAACUACUGGUUUUAGCUCUCAGAUGCAGCACCCCUUCUUUUGUUUUGGAGAUAGGGAGUUUUGGGUUAAGUGGUUGUUAUAGAGAAAGAUUUAUUUUAAAAGAUUUAGGUAGCUACAAGUACAUUACAGUAAUCUCUCUUUACAGAUUAGACUUGGAAUAGCAAAAUUUUUAGUGAUUGUACUUUGUAUCUGAAGAAAUUACUUUCCUUAAUGCCUAGUUUGUUCAUAUAAAGUUUGUUGACAGUGCAGUGACUUUGUGAUGAGCCCUUAUCCAAUCCAGACAGACAAGCUGGUUCUUUGUUUUUUCUCCACUGGGUCUAGCGUGAUGUGUGGGGCAACAGGAGAGAGAACCGAUGAGCUGGGCCAAACCGAGCAGCCUUUAAAAUGAAAAAGCCUUUUCACAGAAUUCUAGUUUAUUACUUACAUGCAGCAUUCUAGUUAUGGAUCAGUAUAAAUGCAAAUCCUCAAAGCCUUGUUUAGGAGAUUACUGUGGUAGUGGUGAAGUGGGGAGUGGGUUGCUGGCAAAGGUGAGUAUCAAGGUAUUUUCAGUUAGGAGGAGGGAGCUUUUCAAAUAUUUUUGGAUGGUGGGGGAAGCAGCCUAAUGGGAAACAGCUAGAAAUCGAAUUGUUUCAUUUUGGGAUUUUUAUCAACUCUCUCAAACCAAAAUCCUAUUACUUGCUAGAUCCUGUGCUAAGGAGCUUUUCUGAUGACGGGAUCUCUUUCCUCCCAGCCCAAAAAGGUCUUGUCCAAAGCCAUAUCUUCCACUUUUAAUCAUCAUCAUUUGAGCACCAUGAUCACUAGUAUGCCAGAUGCAAUGCCUGCCAGUCCCCAUCAUAAGACAUUUGUACAGCUCAGCACCAAUGAUGCCACCCCAUUUACAAUUGUAUUUUGAGACUUGUCAGUUAGCCAGUUAACGAACGUAAUGUGUGCCUUUGUCGAUUUUGUAUCCUUCUAGUUCUUAGUCAAAAUGUCAUGAAGUACCAAAUCAAAUGCCUUACAGAAGUCUAAGACUUGAAGUCAAAGACACUAUUACCUUUAUCAACCAAAUCUGUAAUCUCAUCAACAAAUAUCAGAUUAGUGUGACAGGAUUUGUGUGCCAUAAAUCUAUGUUGAUUGAUUAAUGCCAAUCAAGAAUUAAAGGAAGAUAAUAUAAUUAAGUCCCAUAUCAGCCACUCUCCAGUAUUUUGCCUGUGAUUGAUUUCAUGAUUUUUCUAAAGAGA